GGGUCAGUAGGUUGGUCGUGCCACCGGUACGUACUGGUCUCACUGAUUCCUCCUUCCUGAAGAAACGUAAUGCCAUUAAUUUGGUGUUGCGGGGAAACAGGACUGUUACUUUGAAAAAAUUAGAGUGUAUAAAGCAAGCUAACGCUUGAAUAAAUUAGCAUGGAAUAAUGAAAUAGGACGAUCGAUCCUAUUUUGUUGGUUUCUAGGAUUGACGUA
rnacentral:rRNA from 1 species